AACAAGGGUCAUAUAUUAUAAUAAAUGCAUUUCCGGUAUAAUUGAUUUCAAACUCUUUUCUUGCAAUGUUAUGGGUACACUUAUAAUAUGGUACAAUUGUAAAGAAAAAUAAGUCGAAUGCAUCGUGUGUUGAAUGGUUCGAAUGUAACGGUUAUUGUUUGAGGACUCUAAUUAACGGAAGUAGAGUUAUUGACGGCGGAAAGGUGCGCACAUGUUAUUAGAUCCGGUCGGUUAAGACGUUCAUUCGUGGCACAGAACAAAAUUGGAUUAUCUGUAAGCACAGAGUAUGUCUGUAAGCAAUAAGCACCAAUGUAUAACCUCCAUUUUUCACUGUAAAUUUAUUGUUUGUAUACAAAUAUUGAUAUAGAAACAUAUUUAUAGUAUCAUUUACUGGAGCUAUUCUCGAUACGCUAUAAAUGUUUAUAUAUAAUAUAUUAUGGUAUAAAUUCAUUAU